UCGUGGGGAUUCGUCCCCAUCGAGAUAGCACCCUUUGUUUAUGAGCACCCUUUGUUUAUGAGCACCGUUUGUUUCCUCGGCGGGCAUGCCCGCCGCUAGGACCCCCAAUAAACCUUUGCAGUAGCAGUAUCGUCAGUUUAAAACAAAAUAUUA
rnacentral:misc_RNA from 1 species